rnacentral:lncRNA from 1 species
GCGAAGGUUCAGCAGGGAGCCGUGGGCCGGGCGCGCCGGUUCCCGGCACGUGUCUCGGCACGUGGCAGCGCGCCUGGCCCUGGGCUUGGAGGCGCCGGCGCCCUGGAUCCGCCGGCCGUGGUCGCCGAGUCGGUGUCGUCCUUGACCAUCGCCGACGCGUUCAUUGCAGCCGGCGAGAGCUCAGCUCCGACCCCGCCGCGCCCCGCGCUUCCCAGGAGGUUCAUCUGCUCCUUCCCUGACUGCAGCGCCAAUUACAGCAAAGCCUGGAAGCUUGACGCGCACCUGUGCAAGCACACGGGGGAGACCAUUUGUUUGUGACUAUGAAGGGUGUGGCAAGGCCUUCAUCAGGGACUACCAUCUGAGCCGCCACAUUCUGACUCACACAGGAGAAAAGCCGUUUGUUUGUGCAGCCAAUGGCUGUGAUCAAAAAUUCAACACAAAAUCAAACUUGAAGAAACAUUUUGAACGCAAACAUGAAAAUCAACAAAAACAAUAUAUAUGCAGUUUUGAAGACUGUAAGAAGACCUUUAAGAAACAUCAGCAGCUGAAAAUCCAUCAGUGCCAGCAUACCAAUGAACCUCUAUUCAAGUGUACCCAGGAAGGAUGUGGGAAACACUUUGCAUCACCCAGCAAGCUGAAACGACAUGCCAAGGCCCACGAGGGCUAUGUAUGUCAAAAAGGAUGUUCCUUUGUGGCAAAAACAUGGACGGAACUUCUGAAACAUGUGAGAGAAACCCAUAAAGGAAAUACUAUGUGAAGUAUGCCGGAAAACAUUUAAACGCAAAGAUUACCUUAAGCAACACAUGAAAACUCAUGCCCCAGAAAGGGAUGUAUGUCGCUGUCCAAGAGAAGGCUGUGGAAGAACCUAUACAACUGUGUUUAAUCUCCAAAGCCAUAUCCUCUCCUUCCAUGAGGAAAGCCGCCCUUUUGUGUGUGAACAUGCUGGCUGUGGCAAAACAUUUGCAAUGAAACAAAGUCUCACUAGGCAUGCUGUUGUACA